AGCAAUAUGGCUGAAGUUGUCUAGCAAAGUUACUUUGUUAUUUUGUUGUAUUUUAAAAUAAGGAUCUUAAUGUGAAUGUGAAUGGGUCUACCCUACAGAAGGGCGGAUAGCUAACCUCCUCCGUCUUUAUCGCUCAGGGGAAUUCCUUGCACCUGUACUGGAGAACCUGUUGACUGACUGUUGGGCACUCCUGGUCAAUAAUACACAAUUCCCUCAGGACUUCAUCUGAUUCCCACAC